UUAUAGUAUACUCAUAUAAUUAUAAAAAGACCGAUGGCAUCGCGCCGGGCUCUAUUUGCGACUCGGUCGGCGGUUUCAGUAACCAAGCCUCGAGGUUUUCGUUCCGGCUUGAUUGAUCGUCUGCCAGUUUUCAACAGUGGAUUUCGAGAAGGAGAUUAAUGAGGCCAUCGGAAAGCGUAAUGGUGAAGGAAACGCAAAUCUUUCAAGCUGGAGAAAGGAAUACGAAGAUGAUCUGAAUAAAAAGUUUAAGGAGUUUGAUGAGAUUCAAAAAUCUCAACAGCGUGAGAUCUACAGAGCGGCAAUGAAUUAUAGCGAAAAUUUGAGGGUUGUACAUAAUCAGCUAAAGGAGGCACAAGUAGCUAUCCGCAAGCUAAAUGGCGAGGUACUUGGGAUCAGUCUCAUGAUUUUCGCUUCCGUAGGUGUCAUUGCUUCUACCUCAAUCCGUCUCUUCUUUUAGAAUUAUGUUUUGGACUUUGCUAAGGUUAAUAUGUUUGUUUUAGUUGGUUUGAGAUAAAUAUAGUACUUACUUGUUGUGCUCU